rnacentral:rRNA from 1 species
UACGUAGGGUGCGAGCGUUGUCCGGAAUUAUUGGGCGUAAAGAGCUCGUAGGCGGUUUGUUGCGUCUAUCGUGAAAACCUGCGGCUUAACUGUGGGCUUGCGGUGGAUACGGGCAGACUUGAGUUCGGUAGGGGAGACUGGAAUUCCUGGUGUAGCGGUGAAAUGCGCAGAUAUCAGGAGGAACACCGGUGGCGAAGGGCGGGGAUC